GGCCGCGGGAAUUCGAUUCAGGCCUAACACAUGCAAGUCGAGCGGUAGAGAGAAGCUUGCUUCUCUUGAGAGCGGCGGACGGGUGAGUAAUGCCUAGGAAUCUGCCUGGUAGUGGGGGAUAACGUUCGGAAACGGACGCUAAUACCGCAUACGUCCUACGGGAGAAAGCAGGGGACCUUCGGGCCUUGCGCUAUCAGAUGAGCCUAGGUCGGAUUAGCUAGUUGGUGAGGUAAUGGCUCACCAAGGCGACGAUCCGUAACUGGUCUGAGAGGAUGAUCAGUCACACUGGAACUGAGACACGGUCCAGACUCCUACGGGAGGCAGCAGUGGGGAAUAUUGGACAAUGGGCGAAAGCCUGAUC
rnacentral:rRNA from 1 species